CAUGAUUUAGCCAGUACCCCCAAGCAAAGAGACCUUUAGUUUGAUACCCCGAAACCAGGUGAGCUACCCCGAGACAGCCUAUGUUAAUUUAGGGCUAACCCGUCUCUGUGGCAAAAGAGUGGGAAGAGCUCCGGGUAGAAGUGAAAGACCUACCGAACCUGGUGAUAGCUGGUUGACUGAGAAAUGGAUAGAAGUUCAGCCUCACACACCCCGAACCAAAGAAUAUUAUCACCAAGAUAUUUAGGGAAAAAUGCGAGAGUUAGUUGAAGGGGGUACAGCCCUUUUAACAAAGGAUACAACCUUAACAGGAGGAUAAAGAUCAUAAUAUAUAAGAUAUACUGUUCUAGUGGGCCUGAAAGCAGCCACCUAAGCAGAAAGCGUUAAAGCUCGGACAGAAAGAAGUUUAUUAUACAGAUAAAAAAUCUUAUUCCCCUAACUAUAUCAGACCAACCCAUGCCCGCAUGGAAGAGAUUAUGCUAAAAUGAGUAAUAAGAAGACCCGCUCUUCUCCCGGCACAAGUGUAAACCAGAUCGGACCAACCACUGGAACUUAACGAACCCAACCCAAGAGGGUAGUGUGAUUAACAAAAAACUCAAGAAGACCUCACAUUAGCUAAUCGUUAACCCCACACUGGAGUGCUUUUUAAGGGAAAGACUAAAAGAAGGGGAAGGAACUCGGCAAACACAAGCCUCGCCUGUUUACCAAAAACAUCGCCUCCUGCAACUAAACUGAGUAUAGGAGGUCCAGCCUGCCCAGUGACUACGGGUUUAACGGCCGCGGUAUCUUGACCGUGCAAAGGUAGCGCAAUCACUUGUCUCUUAAAUAGAGACCUGUAUGAAUGGCUAGACGAGGGCUUAACUGUCUCCCCCCUCCAGUCAGUGAAAUUGAUCUAUCCGUGCAGAAGCGGGUAUAAAUAUACAAGACGAGAAGACCCUUUGGAGCUUAAGGUACAAAGUACAACCACGUUAAACAACUCUAUAAGAAGCAAGAACUUAGUGGUAAUGAAUUUUUACCUUCGGUUGGGGCGACCGCGGAGGAAAAACAAGCCUCCGAGUGGACUGGGCCUAACCCCUGAAGCCAAUAGAGACAUCUAUGGGCCGCAGAACAUCUGACCAAAAAUGAUCCGGCUAAAAAGCCGACCAACGAACCAAGUUACCCAAGGGAUAACAGCGCAAUCCCCUCCCAGAGCCCAUAUCUACGAGGGGGUUUACGACCUCGAUGUUGGAUCAGGACAUCCUAAUGGUGCAGCCGCUAUUAAGGGUUCGUUUGUUCAACGAUUAAAGUCC
rnacentral:rRNA from 1 species